rnacentral:rRNA from 1 species
AGCGAACGCUGGCGGCAGGCUUAACACAUGCAAGUCGAGCGGGCACUUUCGGGUGUCAGCGGCGGACGGGUGAGUAACGCGUGGGAACGUGCCCUCUUGUUCGGAAUAACUCAGGGAAACUUGAGCUAAUACCGGAUACGCCCUUUUGGGGAAAGGCUUGCUGCCGGAGGAUCGGCCCGCGUCUGAUUAGCUAGUUGGUGAGGUAACGGCUCACCAAGGCGACGAUCAGUAGCUGGUCUGAGAGGAUGCUCAGCCACACUGGGACUGAGACACGGCCCAGACUCCUACGGGAAGCAGCAGUGGGGAAUAUUGGACAAGGGGCGCAAGCCUGAUCCAGCCAUGCCGCGUGAGUGAUGAAGGCCUUAGGGUUGUAAAGCUCUUUUAUCCGGGACGAUAAUGACGGUACCGGAGGAAUAAGCCCCGGCUAACUUCGUG